AAGUAAUCUUGAAUGAAACCUUCGGGUGGAUUUCUUGAUUAUCUUAGCGGCGGACGGGUGAGUAACGCGUGAGUAACCUGCCUUUCACAAAGGGAUAGCCUCGGGAAACUGGGAUUAAUACCAUAUAACACUUAAGAUUCACAUGAAUUUUAAGUUAAAGCGUAAAGCGGUGAAAGAUGGACUCGCGUCCCAUUAGUUAGUUGGUGAGGUAAAAGCUCACCAAGACCGCGAUGGGUAGCCGGCCUGAGGGGGUGAUCGGCCACACUGGGACUGAGACACGGCCCAGACUCC
rnacentral:rRNA from 1 species